CCUUCUUCGUAUAAAGUAAAAGAAUAUUUUGGUUGCAUUUGGUUAGUAAAUGUUUUGUUUAGAGGACUUUCAAUUUCAAACCUCUUACAAAAACAUUAAUGACGGAAUAAACAUAGUUAGGCAUCUUAUUGGAUCACAAGCUCAAC